CUGGACAAUGGCCACAAAUGAGCAGCCUCUAGAGUCAAGCAAACUUUCUUACUAUUUCCCCGUUACAGAUAACAAAAUUCAAGCAGCAUCUUUCACCACCAGGAGGGAGUCAUCGCAUCUGAGGGUUCAGGUUCUCAAUGCCAAUUUCUCAGCAGUGGUAGGUCAGGUCUUUGAAGCUCCAUCCUAAAAUUGCAGGGCUCUAAAUAACCCAGAUGAAACCUAUUGGGAUGAAUUCACAACUGUCUGCAAGAGAAAGCUCCCGCUGACGUCAAUAGGAGUUUAUCCUGAGGGCCUAAGAAUUAGAAAGAGCUGCCAGUGCCAUCCCUGUGAGCAGUGAAGCAAAGAAAAGCAAUGAGUUCUGCGGUACAUGGAAUAAAUAAAAAUUUUAAAGACAACAUGCAAAGAAAAGGUACGAUGAGGAAAAGUUCAAAAAAAAUUCCUUUCAUGCAAGGUGCAUGAAGAAAAUCAACAUGAAGAACAAUGGCCAACAAAACCAGCAACUGGGAAGCUUUACUACAGUUUUAACAACAGGAAUGCUGAAUCCAGACUGUUUAGUCUUGUAUUUCAGGUCUGCUAUUUACAUGUGCCUUUAAGAAAAUUAGUAACAUGGAAACUAAGUACCAGAUUCCAAAAGGGAGGUAAAUCUGUUUGUGUUAACAUGAAAAUAUUUCAAACACAUACCUUUACUCUAGAAUCAGGUUGCAGGUAUAUGUGUUACAAUUAAUAAAAGCAGUGUAUAUACAUUGUUUAAAUAUAUACACACAUUUCAUAUGUACAUAUAUGUGUGAAAUUAUACAUCUGUGUUAAUAUAUCUGCAUGUGUGUGUAUACACAUACAUCGCUCAAUAUAUUAUAGACCAUUUUCUUUAAAUGUCUCAAUUAUUUUCUUCUUCCCACUCCUCCAAAGAAGUCAAAUCCUCAGGUUGGUAUGUAUUCUACUACAGCUUUCUCCCUGCAUGCACAGUAAUUUAUCAUAGAUGUGAAUAUGCCUUUUUAUUUUUUUAAAUAAAAUGGAAUCAUACUAUAUAAAUUUUACUAAAGAAAAUGCUGUCACUUAAAAAUAAACCAAGGUAACUACUGUUAAUAUUUUAUUGAAGUAUACUAUAUAUACAAAUGUGUUAAAAUCUUAAAUUAAUAUUUGGCAUUUCUUUUUACAGAAGAAUACAUCUGACCAAAUAAAGAUGUAUAAUAUUUCUAGUCCAAUGGCUUGCUCAAAGCAUAUAAAGCUGGUUAGAAGCACAGCAAAAAAUUAAACACGAGAUUUCAAAUACCAACUUUAUUCUCUUCAAUUGUCUGGUAGCUUACCUAAAGAACAGUUGAUAACAAUUGGGGAUCAGGAUGGCCACACUUUAUCAAAACCUUUCCUUCACUGUUUG
rnacentral:lncRNA from 1 species